rnacentral:rRNA from 1 species
UACAGAGGGUGCGAGCGUUAAUCGGAAUUACUGGGCGUAAAGCGUGCGUAGACGGUAGCGUAAGUCAGAUGUGAAAGCCCCGGGCUCAACCUGGGAAUUGCAUUUGAGACUGCUCUGCUCGGGUGCGGAAGAGGGCAGCGGAAUUUCCGGUGUAGCAGUGAAAUGCGUAGAUAUCGGAAGGAACACCAGUGGCGAAAGCGGCUUCCUGGUCCGACACCGACGUUCAGGCACGAAAGCGUGGGGAGCAAACAGG